GUCGAACGAAGUAGCAAUACUUAGUGGCAGACGGGUGAGUAACAUGUGGGUAUCUGCCCUUUGGCCUGGAAUAACACGAGGAAACUUGUGCUAAUACCGGAUAAGUCUUUACAGAGAAAGCUUUAUGCACCAUUGGAUGAGCCCGCACUUGAUUAGUUUGUUGGUAGGGUAAUGGCCUACCAAGACUGUGAUCAAUAGCUGAUUUGAGAGGAUGAUCAGCCACAUUGGGACUGAGACACGGCCCAAACUCCUACGGGAGGCAGCAGUGGGGAAUCUUGCACAAUGGAGGAAACUCUGAUGCAGCGAUGCCGCGUGAGUGAAGAAGGCCUUUGGGUUGUAAAGCUCUUUCGUCGGGGAAGAAAAUGACUGUACCCGAAUAAGAAGGUCCGGCUAACUUCGUGCCAGCAGCCGCGGUAAUACGAAGGGACCUAGCGUAGUUCGGAAUUACUGGGCUUAAAGAGUUCGUAGGUGGUUGAAAAAGUUGGUGGUGAAAUCCCAGAGCUUAACUCUGGAACUGCCAUCAAAACUUUUCAGCUAGAGUUUGAUAGAGGAAAGCAGAAUUUCUAGUGUAGAGGUGAAAUUCGUAGAUAUUAGAAAGAAUACCAAUUGCGAAGGCAGCUUUCUGGAUCAUUACUGACACUGAGGAACGAAAGCAUGGGUAGCGAAGAGGAUUAGAUACCCUCGUAGUCCAUGCCGUAAACGAUGUGUGUUAGACGUUGGAAAUUUAUUUUCAGUGUCGCAGCGAAAGCGAUAAACACACC
rnacentral:rRNA from 1 species